rnacentral:rRNA from 1 species
AGAGUUUGAUCAUGGCUCAGGACGAACGCUGGCGGCGUGCCUAACACAUGCAAGUCGAACGGGGUCCAACCAGUCGCAAGACUGGGGAAGACCUAGUGGCGAACGGGUGAGUAACACGUGAGGAACCUGCCCCGAAGACCGGGAUAACCCUCCGAAAGGAGAGCUAAUACCGGAUACCCCAACCAGAUCGCAUGUUCUGGUUCGGAAAUGGAUUCCGCUUCGGGAGGGCCUCGCGGCCUAUCAGCUUGUUGGUGGGGUAACGGCCCACCAAGGCUUCGACGGGUAGCUGGUCUGAGAGGACGAUCAGCCACACUGGGACUGAGACACGGCCCAGACUCCUACGGGAGGCAGCAGUGGGGAAUCUUGCACAAUGGGCGAAAGCCUGAUGCAGCAACGCCGCGUGGGGGAUGAAGGCCCUCGGGUUGUAAACCCCUUUCAGCAGGGACGAAUCUGACGGUACCUGCAGAAGAAGCCCCGGCCAACUACGUGCCAGCAGCCGCGGUAACACGUAGGGGGCAAGCGUUGUCCGGAUUUAUUGGGCGUAAAGAGCUCGUAGGCUGUUCGAUAAGUCGGGUGUGAAACCUCCAGGCUCAACCUGGAGACGCCACCCGAUACUGUCAUGACUAGAGUCCGGUAGGGGAGCGUGGAAUUCCUGGUGUAGCGGUGAAAUGCGCAGAUAUCAGGAGGAACACCAGCGGCGAAGGCGGCGCUCUGGGCCGGUACUGACGCUGAGGAGCGAAAGCGUGGGUAGCAAACAGGAUUAGAUACCCUAGUAGUCC